GAUGAACGCUAGCUACAGGCUUUACACAUGCAAGUCGAGGGGUAACGAGAGGAAAGCUUGCUUUCCUUGUCGACGACCGGCGCACGGGUGAGUAACGCGUAUCCAACCUGCCCCCAACUAGGGAAUAACCUUGCGAAAGUAAGACUAAUACCCUAUAAUUUCCUCAGAUGCCAUCUGACGAGGAAUAAAGAUUUAUCGGUUGUGGAUGGGGAUGCGUCUGCUUAGAUUGUUGGCGGGGUAACGGCCCACCAAGGCAACGAUCAGUAGGGGUUCUGAGAGGAAUGUCCCCCACAUUUGAACUAAGACACGGUCCAAACUGCUACGGGAGGCAGCAGUGAGUAAUAUUGGUAGAUGGGCGGAAGCCUGAACCAGCCAUGUAGCGUGCAGGAUGGCGGCCCUAUGGGUGGUAAACUGCUUUUAUACAGGAAUAAAGUUAGCCACGUGUGGUUAUUUGUAGGUACUGUAUGAAUAAGGACCGGCUAAUUCCGUGCCAGCCGCCGCAGUAA
rnacentral:rRNA from 1 species